CACCUCGCUGCCCCCGCACGGCUGUGGGGCCACCAUGGACCGCAACCCGUCGCCGCCGUGCAAUGAUGCGGAGGAGGAGGAGGGGGACGCGGUGGGGAACACGGUGUACAGCAAGCACUGGCUCUUCAGCGUCCUCACCCGCCUCGUCGAGGUGAUCGCCCCCGCGGAGCCGGAUCCCGCCGCCAACCCCGAGGGAGCCCGGACGGAGCUGGACGAGGAGAUGGAGAAUGACAUUUGCAAGGUGUGGGACAUGUCGAUGGACGAGGAUGUUGCUUUAUUUCUUCAGGAGUUCAACGCCCCCGAUAUAUUCAUGGGAGUUUUUGCCAAGUCCAAAUGCCCUCGCCUAACUGAAAUCUGUGUGGGAAUAUUAGGGAAUAUGGCCUGUUUCCAGGAUAUCUGCAUGUCCAUUAGCAAAGAUGAGAAUCUUGGCCAAGUGUUACUGCAACGUUUGUGUGAUUCAGAUUCCCCAACUCUUCUGGAAACAAGCAGGUUGUUGUUAACUUGCCUCUCCCAGCCUGAGGUGGCCAGUGUCUGGGUGGAGAGGAUCCGAGAAAACCCUUCUGUGUAUGACUGUGUUUGCUUUAUCAUGUCCAGUUCUACAAAUGUUGAAUUGCUGGUGAAAGUGGGUGAAGUGGUGGACAAACUCUUUGAUCUGGAUGAAGAGCUGAUGUUAAACUGGAUCAAAAAUGGCACUUGUCACUCUGUGGGACCAUCUGUAGAUGAUUCUCCUGAAGAACUUCCAGAGUUUAAGAUUGUGCCUUGUAUACUUGAAGCAGCCAAGCAAGUCCGAUCAGAUAACCCAGAAGGACUGGAUGUUUAUAUGCAUAUCCUGCAGCUCCUGACCACAGUGGAUGAGGGUAUCCAGGCUAUUGUGCAGGCUCCUGAUGGAGGAAAAGAGACUUGGAGUUUGCUUUAUGACCUCGUUUGCCAGGAGCUUUGCCAGCCAGAUGAUCCACCGAUCAUUGUGCAGGAGCAGAAGACUGUGCUGGCCUCUAUUUUGUCCGUGCUGUCUGCUAUGUUUGCUUCACAGACAGAGCAGGAGUAUACCAGGAUGAGGAAAAAUAUGCCACUGAUUGGGAGCUUGAUUCGUAUUUUACAAUACAUGGAGGGCUGUGGGAAGAGAGCUGUUGAUAACUCCAAGGAGUCUGAGCAAGAGGAGACUGGAAGGACUGAUGUAAAUGAGGAAGAUUUCCAUUUAAAAAUUUUGAAGGAUAUUUGCUGUGAAUUGCUUUCCAAUAUGCUUCAAGAACUAACCAAGGAGAAUACCUUAGAAGGACUGCACCAAGGACACCUGAAUGAACAGACAUGUUCCUGUGCUUUUCAGAACCUCUUACCUCUGUAUUCUGCUUCGGUGGAGAGUUUCCUUGAAGUCCUGCGUGAGGCUGAUCAGACACUUGCUGACAAUCUAGAAAAAUGUUUCCCAAGCCUGAAGGCUCACACCUAAGAAUAUCCUGUGUCUGCAUGCAAUGGACUGACAUGUUCUGAGUCUGAAGAGACAGCACAGCAGCACAUCAACUUCACUGUUUCUGUAAAUGAGAGUGGAAAACAAUUGUCCUUUAUUAGGUUUGAGAUGUAAAAGCAAAUGGGAACCAGAGCAUAGAGAAUAAUUGAAUAUCACAUACGUGCAUUCCCUGGCUCUCCAGGUUUUACAGACUUAAGUGUUGUGCUGGGCCAUGUUGUGUUACCAGAGUUACCUGGACAUGUGGUAAAAUACCGUAUGUGUAUAUGUACAUAUAACCUUUCCAUCCCAAAUUCCAGUUUUCAAAACCAGUGCAAUUCAAUCAUUUCCCUGCCAGCAGCAUCUUAGUUGUCAGCAGGGAAAUUUGGUAUUGCAAAUACCUGACUUGUUUUGCCAAAAAGAAUUGCCAUGGUUUAUAUCAAUUUUUGUAUGCUGUGUUUAUUGGAGAAAACUGGUGACUGUGAAUCAGAUGACACCAUUUUUCAUACUACUUUGACAGUUUUGGGAUAUUUUCUUAAACCUACAGAUUUGUAAUAAAGCUUCUUUAAAAAAAAAAAAAAAAAACAACAAAACCUGUAUGCUUUCCUUUAUUCCAGUGUCAAUUAAAUUUGUUUUCUGAGCCACUGGAAAUGUCUGUUACUCUUAAGUGUGUCAGUUGUAAGAGGAAAAUCAAACCUCUUCAUAAUGUCUGUGUGCUGUAAAAUAUGUUUUCCUUCAUUGAAUAUUUAUUUUAACUCUUGCUUUUUUUGCAUAGUCAUUUUUAUGGUCUGGAAGUUAAUGUGUGUCUCAUCCCAUAAACAUUUUUUAAGCUUAGUUUGUCUCCAGCUGUAUCGUGUCUUCCACCAUAGUGAAGAAUUAUUUCUGGUGUGCAUCUCCUGAAAUUUGUGGUAGUUGAAAUUCUGCAGUAGCCAUGUAAUGUAAUGUAGAAAAAAAAAAGCUGAGACAAGAUCUGUUGUUUUAUUUUGUUCCUCCUCCUUUUCAAUACACCAAUAUCCAGUGUUGGCUGAUGAACUGUUACAUGUUACUGAUAUCUGGUGCCUGUCAUGCGGCAACCCAGGUGGGUCCUAUCCUCCUGCUCAUCUGCAACAGAAGGAGCUGCAGACAUGGUCAGUCAGCCUUGCUUCAGCAGAAUGGUAAUUCAGGUAUGCUGGGAAUUUUUAUCCUUGAUAACCACGGUGAAUUGGAGAUUGGGAUUCCCUCUUGGCCUUUUGCAGUGGGUGUGGUGCUGCCUUGGGGAGUGAGGCUGGUGCCAGAGUGAAUGCAAGGUGACUGUGCUGUGUUUGUGGGGUUCAGAGAGGGAAGAAAUUAUUUGUGAGGGUAGGUGAAUGAUGUGUUUGGAACUGGUGCACGUGUGUUUCACCAUCCUGCCAGCAGGGACCUCCCUUGGCCUGUGCUUCAUGAGCAGCAUGUGUUUGGGGUUUUGGUGGGGUUGGGCUUUUUCUGGGAGGGGCAGGGAGGUGUUUGCAUUUUGAUUUUAGUAUUUUUUUUAAUUCCCUCUCCUAGACCUGUUUUGGCACCCACUGAGCUCUCUAGGCCAGUUGAUUCAGAAUGACUAUCUGUCUGACUACAAGCAGUGCUCACCAUUUACUUUUCAUUUUGUUGGCGAUGAUGAUGAAAUUCAUGUGCUCUGCCAAAGUCAAUGAGAAAGGAAGAACCUGCUACACCUGGGGCAAGGACCAGUCUACUGUGAUGUUAUACAACUUCCCAAAAGCCCUUCAUGUGAAGACAAGCCCAGGCAGCCAUGUGCCUCAGCUCUGCAAUGAGAGAAGCCCCUCAGUCAGAGCUGACAGGCUGUGAGCUGAGCGAACCUGACAUCACCAGCAUGGCUAAACUAACCAGGUUAUUGCCAACAGCUAUCCACAGAGGUUUUGCAAUGGGAAAUACUGCUCCUACACGUCCUUUUGUUUCCCUUCCUGAUUCACUUUUGCAAAAAGAAACCCAGUUUUAUAAUGCAAGGAGCUGACAUCUAAUAUAGGUAAGAGAAUGGGUUUGCUUCUGAGUUGUUACUGUGGAGAAAAUGAAUGAACGCAGGCAAAACCCAAUGUGGCUCCAUUUCUCUUUCUCCCAGGUCAUUGCAUGUGAGCUGCAUGUCUUAGUGAUGGCUCAGUAAAGUCUGGGAGCUAAAUUUCAUACAAAAGCUACUGUGAAAGAGUUCGCAAAGAAAAGGUAACAGUGGUAGGAGGCUGUGAAGAGAAGACAGCAAUAGUAGAGAAAGAGAAACAAUGAAGAAGAGAUACUGGAGAAAGAAGGAAAAUAGGGGAAAACGUGGAAGAAUCCUGACGAAGAGGAUAAAUAAUAAGUGUGAUGUUGAAGGAGAAAGGUAUUGCAUAUCAGUAAUUAUGUUAGCAUUCUAGAUCUGUCCAGGUGGAAUAGCUGGUGUGCAGUCACCUAUCAAAAGCCUAACACUGAUUACAUUUUCUAUUUUCAAAGCUGAAUUUCCUUUGCAGUUUCUCCUGAUGUAAUGGAAAUGAGACAAGCCUAAGGUGAAUACGAGGUCUUAAAAACCACAGCAGGUGGGCUAAUGAGUAUUGCUGGAUUUUUUUUAAAUUUCUUUUUUUAAUUCACCCACUCUCCGUCCUUGUUUUUUGCUGGCUGGGUGAGGCAUCAGGGAGCCAAAUCAUGAUGGAGGUGAGGCAGAGUCACCUUGCCUAGCAUAGGUCUUGAGUGUGACAGAGGCAAGAUGUGAAAGCAGAGUCCUGGUCUGCAGCAGCCUGCAGCCUGCUCCUGGCACAGGCACAGUAACUGCUUGCAUAUUUGUGCCCAUGGUAACUUAAGUCCCAUGUUGACACUUCCCCAAUUUGUGUCCCUUCAUUCAGUUUCCAAGGAAAUCUUAGAAAAGCAAAUGCACCUUGGUAUUCUGUGUUGCAAUAGUGGCAGUUAUUUAUUCUGUGCUUUAGGCUAUGCAAACUUCAUUUUAAUUUUGCAGUGAGUUUGUAUCAAUAUUAUUUUUGUUGUUAUGUAUAUAAUUUUUGGUGACAGCUCUGUUUAAAGAAGACGUAACUUUAACAAGCCAUCUGUUAACCUUACAUAGAAAGGAAAUGCUUUUGUCAAUGAUUCCAAUGAAAUCAGAAAAAUAAUUUCCUGGCCUCCAGUAGCAGACCAGUUGUCCUAUCUUCUGUCAAUAGGAGGAUAUUGAAACAUGCAGGAAAUACGUGCACACUUUUAUCCUGCCCUGCAAUACAGCCACAGAGCUGCAUUAUAAUUAGCCAGUGAUAUCAGAAAGUUUUAUUUUCCAUUAAAACUUCUUUGUAGUGCACAAACUCUUAUUGAACAUCAGAGAGUUUCCUCAGUCAGGUGGGAAGGCUGGACACAGGAACCAUGGGAAGACAUUUUGAGUUUAUGCUAGCCUGAUUAAUAAAGAUUUUGAUGUAAUAAGUUAAGAGAGUAGAAAAGAGGGACAAACACUUCAGAUUAGGUGAGAAUAAAAAAAACCUGCAAAAUUACUCCAUUUUGUCAUUUGGGAUGAAGCCAUAACAAUGGCUGAAAGGAAGGAAGAGCUGUAGUGGACAGAAAAGGCUGGAAUAAUAGGAAAGAGAAAAAUAAAUGGAGAAGACAUGGAAGAGCAAGGGAGGAGUCUGGUUUUGUGAGGUUAGUAGAUAGAAGACAUUUAUGAGUAGAAAAAAGAAACACAGGAAAUUGCCUAUGAGGUGACAAAUGGUAUAGGUCCAAGGAAAGUCUUUGAGAGACAUAAGUGUAUUCGCACUGUGUAGUGUGAGCUGCUCUCAUAGGAAAGUCCCAAGACCAAAUGAAGGGAAGAUUUCUCCUAUUCCUUCUUCCCUUAUUGGAGAGGUUCUCACAACUCUUAAACGAAAAUGGGAGAUAGAUGCAAAAUAUACUGGCAUUGAACUGCUCUGGAGAGGGGUUGGAGUUGUCCAGGCUAAUUCCUGCACAGACCAUGUGCUUAUGGACACAAGCAAGAGCAGCCAGGGUAACUCUGAGAGGCAAACUUCUUGCAGUUUUUCUGCUUCUCCAGCCUUUCUGGACAGCAGAGCAGGUGGGUGAGGACAGCAUCCAGCAGUGUGUCCGUGCACAUGUGCUUUUGAGCCCACUCUGCUCGCUUCCCUCUUGUCCAGCACUCAGUGAUGAACAUAAAGAUCAGAACCAGAUCUUUUAUUGCAGCGUUAUCAGUAACUUUAACCAACAGAUCUGGAGUCAACCUCCACGAUGGAAGUAUUGAAAAUAACCACAGUGCUACUCUACAACUGUCAGCUUUUGCAUGAGAAGAACUCUUAAUGCUGCAGUGUCACCUGGGAGGCAGACUUAUUUCUUGUCUGCAGUGUGAAGGUUGAGGGUGCUUUGUUGGAAGAACCUGCUGAAUGUGACACAGCAUGAUGUGAUUGCCCACACAGGGUAAAAGAAAUGCUGUCAUGAUUUAAUUAAUCAGUUCUGAUCUACUGAUCCCUGAGUUUACUUAGACUUGAAAGAAGUAAAUAUAACUAAAUUAAACAAAGUUCUUUCCUUUCCGCACAUGCUCUGGGCCCUAUUGCGUCUUCCAUGAGAUAACAAAAAGCUUAUGAAUAACAGGCACAGUGGUCUUUGUUGCUGUUGUCAUUGACUUAAUGCAGAAGGCUGGCAGGAGGAAUAUUAUGCACAGGUGCAGUAUGCAUGGCAUCAGAAGAAGAUGACACAUGGGUGUUUGAAAUUAGUUUUUAAAAUUUGAUUUACAGUGUUAGGUUGGGAAAGGAUAAAAAUGUCAAGGUUUCAGUGUUGUCUGUUGCAGGUCAAGGUAAUUUUGACUAAAUGUGGUAGUGUUUGAGUUGAAACCUUAUCAAAACAGAGGAAAGAGGUAGAAGAAGUUCAAAUUCAGCUCUUGGUUUAUCCAAAACUACUGUGGCAGGUAGUUUUUGUUUGUAACUGCCUAAAGCUGUGCAAGCCCUAGGUGCCUUGGUGUGAUUCCACAGCAGGUCUGGAUGGUUUUCCACCAACCAGAGGUGGUGCCUGUUCAGUUGUACUGCUCAGCGCCUGCCUGGGUGGCUUUGAGAGCACACUCAAAUUUACAGUGGUUUCUUUGGCCACAGCCACUGUGUAAAAGCAUAUCCUUGUCCAGUUGUGGGCUUCCUACCUCCUCUCACACUGAGCUGUUUCUGCCAGCAGCUGGGACCUGCCCUCUCCAAGCACCACAUCUUCAUUACUAGUCUUGUGUCUGUACUGUAGAGGUUUGUGGAGGGAGAUGUGGCUUUGGGGAAGGCAGUUCCCUUAUAUUCUACUGCAUGUACUUAUGUCAUGUGUUUGUCAUUCACAAAUGACCCAGCAUGUAGCUGUGCAGAUGUCAUUUAUGGUGUGCUAUGCCAAAUUUACCAGAACAUACCUGGUAACUCCAUUUACCAUGUGGUUUUUCGGGUAAAUUUACCCCUGUCUUUCAGGAAGUUAGUUCUAGAUUGUAUUUUUUAAUUGUUUGUACUAAUGGGGUAGGAGAAAGUGGGUGGGGUGAAGAAGCUUAAUAAAAAUGAGAAAUACCCACUCUAUUUAACCCCCUUUGUUCUCUGGAGUAAUUCUCACAUCAAUCAAAGCUAACAUUGAUUAACACAACUUGUUCUUAACUAAAAUUAGAUUCAAAAAUAAGCAAAUAUUUUGUCCAUGUAGUUUGCCAGAUAUUAAAGAUUAGUUUGACUCA